UCUUAUGUUCUACAAGGAACUUGAAGAGUUGGAGAAGGAGUUGCCUAAUAUGGGAGGUGAGGAGAAUCCCACACAAGGUGAAAUGCCACCUCCUCCACCACCUCAAGUUCAACGCCGCCCAUCAUUACCUCCACGACCACCCAUUUCAAGAGCAUCUAAUCCAACACAAAGGAGGGUUCAAUUAUCAACAAGAGGAAGGGGUCCACCACCACCAUCAACACCAACGUCAACGGGUCAUUCAUCAACAAGGGGAAGAGGCCGAAGGGGCUAAAGGAAAUGAACUACGUUUAUAAACUAUGUUUUGCUUUUGGUUUGUAAUUUAAUCUAAAUUCAUUCGGAAGUUUGGUUUGUAAAAUUUAACUUAUUUCAUUUUGGUUGCAUGCACUUUUAAUUAACUA